rnacentral:tRNA from 1 species
CCCUGCGUGAAAAGGGUACGGGACUCAAAAUCCCCCGCCGCAAGGCGUGCCGGUUCGAUUCCGGCCCCGGGCACCA